rnacentral:rRNA from 1 species
CAGUCGCCGCGGUAAUACGAGGGGAGCUAGCGUUAUUCGGAAUUACUGGGCGUAAAGCGCACGUAGGCGGCUUUGUAAGUUAGAGGUGAAAGCCCAGGGCUCAACUCUGGAAUUGCCUUUAAGACUGCAUCGCUUGAAUCCAGGAGAGGUGAGUGGAAUUCCGAGUGUAGAGGUGAAAUUCGUAGAUAUUCGGAAGAACACCAGUGGCGAAGGCGGCUCACUGGACUGGUAUUGACGCUGAGGUGCGAAAGCGUGGGGAGCAAACAGGAUUAGAUACCCGAGUAGUCCCUGUCUCUUAUAC